AACGUAGGAGACAAACGUUAUCCGGAGUUACUGGGCGUAAAGGGCGUGCAGGUGGUAAUUUAAGUCUGGCGUGAAAGCCUCCGGCUCAACCGGGGAAAGUCGUCGGAGACUGGAUUACUAGAGGGCAGUAGAGGCGUGUGGAAUUCCGGGUGUAGUGGUGAAAUGCGUAGAGAUCCGGAGGAACACCAGUGGCGAAGGCGACACGCUGGGCUGCACCUGACACUCAGACGCGACAGCAUGGGGAGCGAACGGG
rnacentral:rRNA from 1 species